GUUCCUUUGUUUAGCUGGCAUAACUGUGAAGAGCAGUGUUUUGAGAUGUAAACGCUGGAUAUAUUUCUCAUUGUUUUUCCAAUGACCGUGGAGAUAUUGCACUGGGCAUCGAUUUGAUGGGCACCAGACCUCAACUGGAUUUUUUCAAACAUUGCACUAAGCAGCUCUGCCCUCUGUAAAUAGAUCUUUGGGGUCACACCAUCUGUAGCAAUGGCUUUUACCAGCAGCAAGAUGGGGUUGUCACUGUUGUUCCUGACAACAUUUUGAAAUGCUGAGCUGUCACAGAAAGCACAGCAUAAGCACUGACAAAACGCAUCAAAUGCACAUGUGUUCAGAACAGAGAUUGUUGAUUUCCCAACUCUAAUCGGUUGAUGCAGGUUUCCAUUUUUUAAUAGUCCCACUUUCACUCUUUUUGCCCCAAACGAUGGAUCUGCAUGGAGCCAUUCAGUGCAGGAAGUGAGAUAAGAAGUUCUCUUCCUUUUUUUGGGUGGAAGAAUUAGUCCCCUCCAGUUUUCAACCACGUCUUCAUCUGUUGGAGGAAUGUUUGUGGUUUCAUCGGAUUCUACAGAAUGAACAAAUCCGCAUAUUUCCUUCAAUAAAGGAAAGAUGAUGAGAAAUAAAGCGAUCAACUCGAAUGGGUAAGUUCUCGUGUUUAAAAAGGCCAUGCUUUACAUUUUUGAAUUCUGCUUCAACAGUGGCUGAGCUUGCUGUGAGGUUGGUGCUUUUGAAGAGGGGGACCAUUACUCCUGUCCAAAGUGCCGCGUAGGUCAGUCUGGAUCUCGUCAAAAGAAUCCACUUGAUGCAUUUCAUUUGGAUCUUCAGCUGGAAUGAUGAUGGAGUCUUCUGUGAUCUGGGUUUUUAGAUAUUUUUUGCACAUCUCUGAUUCGAGAGGGACUCCAGAACUAUCAUCACCCUCUGCCUCACUGAGGGCCACAACAGUGAUGGCAUGUAUUAGCUGUUUUGCAUGGUCCAAGCACUGUGAUUGAAGAAGCUUUGCUAUUGCCCUGACAAAGAAAUCUUUGACACGGUGUGACUUGUU